UACGGAGGGUGCAAGCGUUGUCCGGAAUCACUGGGCGUAAAGGGCGCGUAGGCGGCCCGGUAAGUAGGGGGUGAAAUCCUGCGGCUUAACCGCAGGGCUGCCUUCUAAACUGUCGGGCUCGAGCACGGUAGAGGCAGAUGGAAUUCCCGGUGUAGCGGUGAAAUGCGCAGAUAUCGGGAAGAACACCCGUGGCGAAGGCGGCUCUCUGGGACGGUACUGACGCUGAGACGCGAAAGCGUGGGGAGCGAACAGG
rnacentral:rRNA from 1 species